CCCUUAGAUGUUCCGGGCCGCACGCGCGCUACACUGAUGCAUUCAACGAGUUUUGUUUGUUCCUUGGCCGAGAGGCCUGGGCAAUCUUUUGAACUUGCAUCGUGAUAGGGAUAGAUUAUUGCAAUUAUUAAUCUUGAACGAGGAAUUCCUAGUAAACGCAGAUCAUCAAUCUGCAUUGAUUACGUCCCUGCCCUUUGUACACACCGCCCGUCGCACCUACCGAUUGAAUGGUCCGGUGAAGCCUCGGGAUUGUGGUUGGUUUCCUUUAUUGGAGAUUGAUUGCGAGAACUUGUCUAAACCUUAUCAUUUAGAGGAAGGUGAAGUCGUAACA
rnacentral:rRNA from 1 species